rnacentral:rRNA from 1 species
GGUUACUGCUAUCGGUGUUCGCCUAAGCCAUGCGAGUCAUAUGUUCGUAAGAACAUGGCGUACUGCUCAGUAACACGUGGAUAACCUGCCCUUGGGUCCGGCAUAACCCCGGGAAACUGGGGAUAAUUCCGGAUAACGCACAUAUGCUGGAAUGCUUUAUGCGUAAAAUGGAUUCGUCUGCCCAAGGAUGGGUCUGCGGCCUAUCAGGUAGUAGUGGGUGUAAUGUACCUACUAGCCUACGACGGGUACGGGUUGUGAGAGCAAGAGCCCGGAGAUGGAUUCUGAGACAUGAAUCCAGGCCCUACGGGGCGCAGCAGGCGCGAAAACUUUACAAUGCGGGAAACCGUGAUAAGGGGACACCGAGUGCCAGCAUCCUAUGCUGGCUGUCCGGGUGUGUAAAAUACACCUGUUAGCAAGGGCCGGGCAAGACCGGUGCCAGCCGCCGCGGUAACACCGGCGGCCCGAGUGGUGAUCGUGAUUAUUGGGUCUAAAGGGUCCGUAGCCGGUUUGGUCAGUCCUCCGGGAAAUCUGACAGCUUAACUGUUAGGCUUUCGGAGGAUACUGCCAGACUUGGAACCGGGAGAGGUAAGAGGUACUACAGGGGUAGGAGUGAAAUCUUGUAAUCCCUGUGGGACCACCUGUGGCGAAGGCGUCUUACCAGAACGGGUUCGACGGUGAGGGACGAAAGCUGGGGGCACGAACCGGAUUAGAUACCCGGGUAGUCCCAGCCGUAAACGAUGCUCACUAGGUGUCAGGCAUGGCGCGACCGUGUCUGGUGCCGCAGGGAAGCCGUGAAGCGAGCCACCUGGGAAGUACGGCCGCAAGGCUGAAACUUAA